rnacentral:rRNA from 1 species
UCCGGAGGUUGCGAGCGUUGUUCGGAUUUACUGGGCGUAAAGCGCACGUAGGCGGCUUUGUAAGUUAGAGGUGAAAGCCCGGGGCUCAACUCCGGAAUUGCCUUUAAGACUGCAUCGCUCGAAUUGUGGAGAGGUAAGUGGAAUUCCGAGUGUAGAGGUGAAAUUCGUAGAUAUUCGGAAGAACACCAGUGGCGAAGGCGACUUACUGGACAGAUAUUGACGCUGAGGUGCGAAAGCGUGGGGAGCAAACAGG